CCCAUGAACACCCAUUUUUCUUAUAAUAAAUCUUUUACAUGUGUAAAUAUAAGCCAUUUGUAAAAGUCUUAUAAAAUCUUAUUUAUUUUUUAAUAGUUUUUGAGAACUUUAACUGGUCAAUGAUAAAGCUAUGAAAAAUCAAGAGAGAACAUUUUCCCGCCAAAAUUCCAAUGGCUAAUAUCUCGAAAACAAGCACAUUGACCCCUAUAUUUUUUUUGACUUUUUUUGAUUCCUCAAUUAAUCCCCUAUCAGUAUUUACUAGUUUUAUGGAAAGUUAUUUAUUUUGAAACUGAGCAGCAAACAUCCUUAAG
rnacentral:lncRNA from 1 species